rnacentral:rRNA from 1 species
GAUGAACGCUGGCGGCGCGCCUAACACAUGCAAGUCGAACGGCACCCACCUCCGGGUGGAAGCGAGUGGCGAACGGCUGAGUAACACGUGGAGAACCUGCCCCCUCCCCCGGGAUAAUUUCUGGAAACGGAAACUAAAACCGGAUAGGUAGGGAUCUCGCAUGAGGACCUUAUUAAAGGGGCUACGGUCCUGAACAUGGAUGGACCUGCGGUGCAUUAGCUAGUUGGUGGGAUAACGGCCUACCAAGGCGACGAUGCAUAGCCGACCUGAGAGGGCGAACGGCCACAUUGGGGACUGAGACACGGCCCAA